rnacentral:ncRNA from 1 species
AUAAGGGUGACCGAGUGUGGGGAGGAAGCGUGUAGCGAAACUGCGAGCCGAUGAACAAGAACCGGACAGAAGGCGGUGCCGACCAGGGCGAGCGGGCCAAAAACCGCAAAGCUCUCGUGAUCAAGGGGAGGCAGCGUAGAUCCGGCGGAAUCUGCGUCACCGGUUGCGUGC